GGUGAGUAAUGCCUAGGAAAUUGCCCUGAUGUGGGGGAUAACCAUUGGAAACGAUGGCUAAUACCGCAUGAUGCCUACGGGCCAAAGAGGGGGACCUUCGGGCCUCUCGCGUCAGGAUAUGCCUAGGUGGGAUUAGCUAGUUGGUGAGGUAAGGGCUCACCAAGGCGACGAUCCCUAGCUGGUCUGAGAGGAUGAUCAGCCACACUGGAACUGAGACACGGUCCAGACUCCUACGGGAGGCAGCAGUGGGGAAUAUUGCACAAUGGGCGCAAGCCUGAUGCAGCCAUGCCGCGUGUGUGAAGAAGGCCUUCGGGUUGUAAAGCACUUUCAGUCGUGAGGAAGGUGGUGUCGUUAAUAGCGGCAUCAUUUGACGUUAGCGACAGAAGAAGCACCGGCUAACUCCGUGCCAGCAGCCGCGGUAAUACGGAGGGUGCGAGCGUUAAUCGGAAUUACUGGGCGUAAAGCGCAUGCAGGUGGUUUGUUAAGUCAGAUGUGAAAGC
rnacentral:rRNA from 1 species